rnacentral:rRNA from 1 species
GAUGAACGCUGGCGGCGUGCCUAAUACAUGCAAGUCGAGCGAACAGACGAGGAGCUUGCUCCUCUGACGUUAGCGGCGGACGGGUGAGUAACACGUGGAUAACCUACCUAUAAGACUGGGAUAACUUCGGGAAACCGGAGCUAAUACCGGAUAAUAUAUUGAACCGCAUGGUUCAAUAGUGAAAGACGGUUUUGCUGUCACUUAUAGAUGGAUCCGCGCCGCAUUAGCUAGUUGGUAAGGUAACGGCUUACCAAGGCAACGAUGCGUAGCCGACCUGAGAGGGUGAUCGGCCACUAUGGAACUGAGACACGGUCCAGACUCCUACGGGAGGCAGCAGUAGGGAAUCUUCCGCAAUGGGCGAAAGCCUGACGGAGCAACGCCGCGUGAGUGAUGAAGGUCUUCGGAUCGUAAAACUCUGUUAUUAGGGAAGAACAAAUGUGUAAGUAACUAUGCACGUCUUGACGGUACCUAAUCAGAAAGCCACGGCUAACUACGUG